UUGCGUAGGCAUUGUGCACAGUUGGUCAAUCUCGCUGUGCAUUCUACCUAUACAGUG
rnacentral:pre_miRNA from 1 species